UUAAGCAAGAUGAUUCCUCUGCUAGUACCUCCCAGUCCACUCGAGCUGCUUCUAUCUUUGGAGGGGCAAAGCCUGUUGACACAGCUGCUAGAGAAAGAGAAGUAGAAGAACGGCUACAGAAGGAACAAGAGAAGUUGCAGCGUCAGCUGAGUGAGCCAAAACUAGAACGACGGCCUCGGGAGAGACACCCAAGCUGGCCAAACUGGGAACUCUAGCCGUGGUCCAGGAGACGGAGGGAACAAAGACCACUGGAAGGAGUCAGAUAGGAAAGAUGGCAAAAAGGAUCAAGACUCCAGAUCUGCACCUGAGCCAAAGAAACCUGAGGAAAAUCCAGCUUCCAAGUUCAGUUCUGCAAGCAACUAUGCUGCUCUCUCUUGAUGGUGAAGAUGAAAAUGAGGGAGAAGAUUAUGCCGAAUAGACCUCUACAUCCUGUGCUUUUCUCCUAGUUUCUCUCCACCCUGGAACAUUCGAGAGCAAAUCAAAACCUCUAUCCAGACAAGACAAAAUAAAACUCACCAUCUCCUGAAGA
rnacentral:lncRNA from 1 species